rnacentral:rRNA from 1 species
AGUGAAAUUCGUAGAUAUAGAAAGAAUACCAAUUGCGAAGGCAGCUUCUGGAUCAUUACUGACACUGAGGAACGAAAGCAUGGGUAGCGAAGAGGAUUAGAUACCCUCGUAGUCCAUGCCGUAAACGAUGUGUGUUAGACGUUGGAAAUUUAUUUUCAGUGUCGCAGCGAAAGCGAUAAACACACCGCCUGGGGAGUACGACCGCAAGGUUAAAACUCAAAUGAAUUGACGGGGACCCGCACAAGUAGUGGAGCAUGUGGUUUAAUUCGAAGAUACGCGCAGAACCUUACCAACACUUGACAUGUUCGUCGCGACUCUAAGAGAUUAGAGUUUUCGGUUCGGCCGGACGAAACACAGGUGCUGCAUGGCUGUCGUCAGCUCGUGUCGUGAGAUGUUGGGUUAAGUCCCGCAACGAGCGCAACCCUCACUUUUAGUUGCCAUCAUUAAGUUGGGCACUCUGAAAGAACUGCCAGUGAUAAGCUGGAGGAAGGUGGGGAUGACGUCAAGUCCUCAUGGCCCUUACGUGUUGGGCUACACACGUGCUACAAUGGUAUCUACAACAGGAAGCAAGACUGCGAAGUUAAGCAAAUCCCUAAAAGAUACCUCAGUUCGGAUUGCACUCUGCAACUCGAGUGCAUGAAGCUGGAAUUACUAGUAAUCGUGGAUCAGCGUGCCACGGUGAAUGCGUUCCCGGGUCUUGUACACACCGCCCGUCACACCAUGGGAGUUGGUUCUACCUUAAGGCAAGGUUUCAAACCCUUGACCACGGUAUAGUCAGCGACUGGGGUGAAGUCGUAACAAGGUAGCCGUAGGGGAACCUGCGGCUG